GGCGGGCGCCUCAGCGCCAGACACAAUAGGCGGGCGGAGCAGCCUGCCCCCCGGCCUGCCGCGCGCUGGGCGGGGCCGCGCCUCCCACGGCCUCGCGCUGGGCGGGGCCGGGCCGCCCGCCAAACAGCCGCCGGCGUCGCGCCGCCCCUGAGGAGCGCGGCCUCCCUGAGGCAGUGGGUCUGGUGUGGCGGCGGUGCGGGGGGUUGUCGCCUGAGCGUGGAGCCCGUCGUGCCUUGCCGGCAUUAAGCGUGACUCCAAAGCGUGUUUCAUGCUUAUUCGUGCCUUUAAGGCACGUCCCUAAAGCUGUGGGAGGGCUCCGGAGAGGUGGCGUGCCACAGGUGUAAUUGGGCCUUAAUAACUGCGUGUCAGUCGCUGCAAACGGCUGCCUCGUUUGUCUUUCAUAUUAGGAUUUGUAUUAAGAGGUACCUGUAUCUCUCUACAUAUGCAAUCCCUGAAUACUACGUAAGUGACCACAAAUUCGUCGUACUUGUGUGCCAACAAUAUUGACCAUCAACACCUGACAGAGAAAGCCCUGCAUCAGAAUUCCCCACCAUCAAGUAGGAGUUGAGACCUCAAACUCUUUACUUUAAGGAAGUGUUGAACUACUGCUGAUCUGGAGCUGGCUUUGUAUUUCAUGUUUGUGAGCUGUGUAAACGAAGAUCAUCUCUGGAGUUGCUGAUUUUGGAGUCACAUUUGUUAAGCCACUACACAGAGGUAAGAGAGGAGGAGAAGUCUCCCCAGCAAAAACAUAUGUAUCACUUCCACAAACACGAACCUUUAGACCACAAAAUUGCUGAAGGUGAGGGAGGCUUCGACCUCCCUGCAGGCAAUGUGCGGAUCCAGAUUUAGGAGACACUUAGCUUUGCUCUUUGUGUUCCAGAGGAACCUCUCCCAUGCUAGAUCUCCUCUGGGUUUUCAUUCAUCAUUAUCUUACAUCAUCUGUAAACCAGAGAUAGAUGUAUUUAAAACAUAUGUAACCAGCCAGUUACAUGAAAAAUAAAAAUGGAGGGAGGAAAGAAGUCUUAAACUGAUUGGUGUAAUCAGGGCUCACCUGUUGUGUUUAUGUUCUGUGUGAAGGGUUGUCUCUGGCAGGGUUUUUCUGACCCCCCUUUAUAUCACUUUUGUUACCCCUGACACACCUUUGCAGCCCUUCCCAUUUCAGAUUUCCUCCUGCCCUCUUGCUUAGCGACUUUUGACCAAGCCAAGCCUUGCCACUCCCUCUGGGGAAAAUCCUAUAGGAAAUUACUACUAGUCCCCAGCCCUGUUCUUUCUCCAGGGAGAACAGAGA